rnacentral:rRNA from 1 species
CCAGACUCCUACGGGAGGCAGCAGUGGGGAAUAUUGCACAAUGGGGGAAACCCUGAUGCAGCGACGCCGCGUGAGUGAAGAAGUAUUUCGGUAUGUAAAGCUCUAUCAGCAGGGAAGAUAAUGACGGUACCUGACUAAGAAGCCCCGGCUAACUACGUGCCAGCAGCCGCGGUAAUACGUAGGGGGCAAGCGUUAUCCGGAUUUACUGGGUGUAAAGGGUGCGUAGGUGGCAUGGCAAGUCAGAAGUGAAAGCCCGGGGCUCAACCCCGGUCCGCCGUUGAAACUGGCAGUCUCGAGUUGGAGAGAAGUAUGCGGAAUGCGCGGUGUAGCGGUGAAAUGCAUAGAUAUCGCGCAGAACUCCGAUUGCGAAGGCAGCAUGCCGGCUCCACACUGACGCUGAGGCACGAAAGCGUGGGUAUCGAACAGGAUUAGAUACCCGGGUA